rnacentral:rRNA from 1 species
GUGGGGAAUAUUGCGCAAUGGGGGAAACCCUGACGCAGCGACGCCGCGUGGGUGAUGAAGGCCUUCGGGUCGUAAAGCCCUGUGGGAGAGGGAAGAACCCCCAGCAGGAACAAUACCCUGCUGGGCUGACGGUACCUCUCCAGAAAGCGCCGGCUAACUCCGUGCCAGCAGCCGCGGUAAGACGGAGGGCGCGAACGUUGCUCGGAAUUACUGGGCGUAAAGCGCGUGUAGGCGGAUCGGUAAGCGGGGUGUGAAAGCCCUCGGCUCAACCGAGGAAGUGCAUUCCGGACUGCCGGUCUCGAGUGCGGGAGAGGGAGGUGGAAUUCCCGGUGUAGAGGUGAAAUUCGUAGAUAUCGGGAGGAACACCGGUGGCGAAGGCGGCCUCCUGGACCGACACUGACGCUAAGACGCGAAAGCGUGGGGAGCAAACAGGAUUAGAAACCCCUGUAGUCC